CCUACGGGUGGCAGCAGUGAGGAAUAUUGGUCAAUGGACGAGAGUCUGACCCAGCCACGCAGCGUGAAGGAUGAAUGCCCUCUGGGUUGUAAACUUCUUUUAUAUGGGAAUAAAAUGUUCCACGUGUGGGAUUUUGUAUGUACCAUAUGAAUAAGGAUCGGCUAACUACGCGCCAGCAGCCGCGGUAAUAAGGAGGAUGCGAGCGUUAUCCGGUUGUAUUGGGUGUAAAGGGAGAGUAGGUGGAUUGUUAAGUCAGUUGUGAAAGUUUGGGGCUCAACCGUAAAAGUGCAUUUGAAACUGGGAGUCUUGAGUGCAGUAGAGGUGAGCGGAAUGCGUGGUGUAGCGGUGAAAUGCGUAGAUAUCACGAAGAACACCGGUUGCGAAGGCAGCUCACUGGACUGCAACUGACGCUGAGGCUCGAAAGUGUGGGUAUCAAACAGGAUUAGAUACCCGUGUAGUC
rnacentral:rRNA from 1 species